rnacentral:rRNA from 1 species
CCUACGGGAGGCAGCAGUGGGGAAUAUUGCACAAUGGGGGAAACCCUGAUGCAGCAACGCCGCGUGAGCGAUGAAGGCCUUCGGGUCGUAAAGCUCUGUCCUAAGGGAAGAAUACUGACGGUACCUUAGGAGGAAGCCCCGGCUAACUACGUGCCAGCAGCCGCGGUAAUACGUAGGGGGCUAGCGUUAUCCGGAAUUACUGGGCGUAAAGGGUGCGUAGGCGGCCCUUCAAGUCAGAGGUGAAAGGCUACGGCGAGACCGUAGUAAGCCUUUGAAAGUGGAGGGCUUAGGUGCAGGGAGGUAGGGAGGGAUACCAUUGGCGGAGGAGCCAGGCGGGGCUACGGGGGGUAACAACAGUCGCGACGGUGGCUCGAGGAACUGGCACGACCGCCGAGUCCGGACCGCUUGGGGGCAGCACAUGAUAAGACACCCUGGUAUUC